CUCAGGAUGAACGCUAGCGGCAGGCUUAAUACAUGCAAGUCGUGGGGCAGCAUGAGUAGCAAUACUUGAUGGCGACCGGCAAACGGGUGAGGAACACGUACACAACCUUCCUUCAAGCGGGGAAUAGCCCAGAGAAAUUUGGAUUAAUACCCAUAAUAUAUUUGAUAAGGCAUCUUAUUAAUAUUAAAGCUUCGGCACUUGAUGAUGGGUGUGCGGCUGAUUAGAUAGUUGGCGGGGUAACGGCCCACCAAGUCUACGAUCAGUAGCUGAUGUGAGAGCAUGAUCAGCCACACGGGCACUGAGACACGGGCCCGACUCCUACGGGAGGCAGCAGUAAGGAAUAUUGGACAAUGGACGAAAGUCUGAUCCAGCCAUGCCGCGUGAAGGAUUAAGGUCCUCUGGAUUGUAAACUUCUUUUAUAUGGGACGAAAAAAGGGCAUUCUUGUUCACUUGACGGUACCAUAUGAAUAAGCACCGGCUAACUCCGUG
rnacentral:rRNA from 1 species